AUGUGCCACCGAGCUCAUGCUGGUGGUGCCGGCUUUGGCCACGUUUCCGAGCUCGGCAUCAUCGUCGCCGCUCUCUGGCCGGCACACGGAGGAGCACUUCGGGCGGAACGGUCGCCUCAUGUAUUUCCGCCUCGACCGCUCCAUGUUCCUGAUCUGGAACUCGUGCUUCUGUUUUCGAGCUGCCAUGGCCAUGGUCGUGUCCUGCAGCGCCGGGAAGCCGGCUCUUCUGCAGGAGUCACCUGUCGUCUGCAGGCGACCGCUUUUACGCCACGAUGGCAUCCGAGCCUAGUUGGCCUGUAG
rnacentral:rRNA from 1 species